UACGGAGGGUGCGAGCGUUAAUCGGAAUUACUGGGCGUAAAGGGCGCGUAGGUGGUUCAGUAAGUCGGGUGUGAAAGCCCCGGGCUCAACCUGGGAAUUGCAUUCGAUACUGCUGGGCUAGAGUGUGGUAGAGGGAAGCGGAAUUCCCGGUGUAGCGGUGAAAUGCGUAGAUAUCGGGAGGAACAUCAGUGGCGAAGGCGGCUUCCUGGUCCAAUACUGACGCUGAGGUGCGAAAGCGUGGGGAGCAAACAGG
rnacentral:misc_RNA from 1 species